AGCGAACGCUGGCGGCAGGCCUAACACAUGCAAGUCGAACGCAUGCCUUGGGGCAUGAGUGGCAGGGGGGUGAGUAACGCGGGGGAACCUACCCCUUGGUGCGGGAUAGCUCCGGGAAACUGGCGAUAAUACCGUAUGUGUCCCGGGGGACAAAGAUUCAGCGCCAAGGGAUGGGCCCGCGUCGGAUUAGCUAUUUGGUGGGGUAACGGCCUACCAAGGCGACGAUCCGUAGCUGGUCUAAGAGGAUGAUCAGCCACAUUGGGACUGAGACACGGCCCAAACUCCUACGGGAAGCAGCAGUGGGGAAUAUUGCACAAUGGGCGAAAGCCUGACCCAGCCAUGCCGCGUGAGUGAUGAAGGUCUUAGGGUUGUAAAGCUCUUUCACCGGUGACGAUAAUGACGGUACCCGGAGAAGAAGCCCCGGCUAACUUCGUG
rnacentral:rRNA from 1 species